UACGUAGGGUGCAAGCGUUGUCCGGAAUCAUUGGGCGUAAAGAGCGUGUAGGCGGCCUCGUAAGUCCGCUGUGAAAGUCCAGGGCUCAACCCUGGGAUGCCGGUGGGUACUGCGAGGCUAGAGUCCGGAAGGGGCGAGUGGAAUUCCUGGUGUAGCGGUGAAUGCGCAGAUAUCAGGAGGAACACCAAUGGCGAAGGCAGCUCGCUGGGACGGUACUGACGCUGAGACGCGAAAGCGUGGGGAGCGAACAGG
rnacentral:rRNA from 1 species